rnacentral:rRNA from 1 species
AGAGUUGAUCAUGGCUCAGGAUGAACGCUAGCUACAGGCUUAACACAUGACAAGGUCGAGGGGAAACGACAUCGAAAGCUUGCUUUUGAUGGGCGUCGACCGGCGCACGGGUGAGUAACGCGUAUCCAACCUGCCCACCACUUGGGGAUAACCUUGCGAAAGUAAGACUAAUACCCAAUGAUAUCUCUAGAAGACAUCUGGAAGAGAUUAAAGAUUUAUCGGUGAUGGAUGGGGAUGCGUCUGAUUAGCUUGUUGGCGGGGUAACGGCCCACCAAGGCAACGAUCAGUAGGGGUUCUGAGAGGAAGGUCCCCCACAUUGGAACUGAGACACGGUCCAAACUCCUACGGGAGGCAGCA